rnacentral:lncRNA from 1 species
GCCGCCCAAGCCCUGGGGUGACCGAAUCCCCGCGGGGACUCGUCAUGCCGGGCCGUCGCCUCCGUUGCUCUCGCUCUAACUGGGGGCGCCUUGCCCGCCGAGCCUGCACGGAGGCGGCCCCUUCCUCUCUCGCCCUCCGAGGCGGGGGAGGGGGGCGGGGGGGGCUCUGUUCGCCCCUCCCCGGCUCCCUGCCGACCUUGGCGUCUCCAGGAAACGCCGGAGCGCCCAGCCCAUCGCCAUGGCAACGCGGGCCGGGCCGGCUCCUCUUCAGGGAUGAUUGACGUAGGGGAGUGCUGCAGCCGCCCCCAGCCCCGUUAUGGGGAGUAUGGCCCCAGGUGACACAAUGGCCGCAGGCUCCAUGGCGGCUGGCUUCUUCCAGCCCUUCAUGUCACCGCGCUUCCCAGGGGGCCCCCGGCCCACCCUGCGGAUGCCGAGUCAGCCUCCCGCAGGCCUCCCUGGCUCCCAGCCCCUCCUCCCUGGCGCCAUGGAGCCCUCCCCACGAGCCCAGGGGCAUCCGAGCAUGGGCGGCCCAAUGCAGAGGGUGACGCCUCCUCGUGGCAUGGCCAGCGUGGGGCCCCAGAGCUAUGGAGGUGGCAUGCGACCCCCACCCAACUCCCUCGCCGGCCCAGGCCUGCCUGCCAUGAACAUGGGCCCAGGAGUUCGUGGCCCGUGGGCCAGCCCCAGUGGAAACUCGAUCCCCUACUCCUCCUCAUCCCCCGGCAGCUACACCGUA